rnacentral:lncRNA from 1 species
AUGAGUUAAUUAAGAAAUUUGAGACUCAAGGAAAAAGAUGUUUACCUCACUCACUCUUCAAAGGGUGUCACGAGUGGAACCGAAUUGUUGGGAAGUGGCUACCAUGAUUAAUAUUAGCUCCCUUACUUGUCAUGGUGUCUUAUUGAUGAUGGUGCCUCCACUGGCAACGUCUAACAUUCUUCUUUCUAAGAGUAGUAGCCAUUCAUAAAAGUGAUCUAUCAAACAUUGAUACGAUAUAUCAUGUUGUGGGCAACUCGUGCAUAAUCGAUUGAACCUCUCCAAUAAUCGUGUAAGCUCUUGGAAUCUCUUUGACAGAUUCCACAUAUUUCUUUUCUAUUGUCAGCUACCCGAGAUGCUGGGAAGAAACAAUCUAGGAAGGCUUUUAUCAUCUUUACCCAAGUCGUGAUUGAUCUGGGGCAUAGGUAAAAUAACCACUCU